GGGCGACUAGCUCAGUUGGUUAGAGCAUCUGCAUGACAUGCAGAGGGUCAGAGGUUCAACUCCUCUGUCGCCCACCA
rnacentral:tRNA from 2 species